ACAGUUCGUUAGAUGAUCGCUUGAAGACACUGUUUUUAAGAGGAAAGUCCGGGCAGCAUAGGACACGACAGUCGCUAACGGCGACCGAGGGUAACCUUAGGGAAAGUGCCACAGAAACGAAACCGCCGCGGGGCAACCCGAGGUAAGGGUGAAAGGAGUGAGGUAAGAGCUCACAGCGACGCAUGGUGACAUGCGGAGAAGGUAAACCCUGUCGGCUGCAAGGAGAUCUACAUACAGGAUGGUCCGUCCGUAGGUCGCUACCCGCUCGAUCUUGUAGGCAACUGCAAGGCUAGAUAGAUGAUCGUCCACGACAGAACCCGGCUUAUCGACGAACUGCCAUC
rnacentral:RNase_P_RNA from 1 species